ensembl:snoRNA
CUGGGGUGACCUUCUUCCAAGCUUCAGUUCCUGUUCUAGGAACUUGGGGCCAUGUAGCCUCCAAAUGCCCUGCAGUCUGUGGUGUUCUAUGUCCACUUUUUGACUGUUGUAAUGCUACUGUGAACAUUUGUGCACAG